rnacentral:rRNA from 1 species
UGAGUAACACGUAUCCAACCUGCCGUCCACUCUUGGCCAGCCUUCUGAAAGGAAGAUUAAUCCAGGAUGGCAUCAUGAGUUCACAUGUCCGCAUGAUUAAAGGUAUUUUCCGGUAGACGAUGGGGAUGCGUUCCAUUAGAUAGUAGGCGGGGUAACGGCCCACCUAGUCAACGAUGGAUAGGGGUUCUGAGAGGAAGGUCCCCCACAUUGGAACUGAGACACGGUCCAA